AAGAAUUUAAGUGGAGAAGAUGAAGAAAAUAAAUUAAGUUUUUCAGCCAAUGCCAAAAUGACACGUGGAUAGCAGUUAACGUUUUUUGAUUAAAACUAACGGAAGGGACCAAAACAUGUAACGGAGAUAAAGAUAAAGUACCAAAACAAUCUAUUUUUUACUUAAGGGACCAAAGCGAUACCAAAUAAUAACUUAAGGGACGAAAAGAGCAAUUAAGCC
rnacentral:lncRNA from 1 species